UACAGAGGGGGCAAGCGUUGUUCGGAAUUACUGGGCGUAAAGGGCGCGUAGGCGGCCUGCUAAGUCGAACGUGAAAUCCCUGGGCUCAACCCAGGAACUGCGUCCGAUACUGGUUGGCUUGAAUCCGGGAGAGGGACGUGGAAUUCCAGGUGUAGCGGUGAAAUGCGUAGAUAUCAGGAAGAACACCAAUGGCGAAGGCAGCUCUCUGGGACGGUACUGACGCUGAGGAGCGAAAGCGUGGGGAGCGAACAGG
rnacentral:rRNA from 1 species